UUUUCACAAGCAGGGGAAAAGCAGCACCUAGGGAGCUAGGCUUUUAAUAACCACCUGAUGGUAAUCUCACAGACUCCACAAAACAUAGGCUGGUAGCUUCCUACUUGCAAAGUAUAUUAUGCUUAGUGAAUGAACAUCAGCCCCAACAGUGCUUAGCUCCAGAAAGCAACCCUUGCCUUCUUCACAACUAGGUCUUUUGUAUACCUAAGGCAAAUGAGCCACUACACUGCCAAAUUCCCUGUGUGCACUGUUCGUUACAGGAAAUUUCUGUAUAUUGAAAUCCACUUGACUGUGUUCUCUUUUGUGCAGAAACAUGAAUUGCUACGAAAAUGCCUUCAUUUCACAAGUGGGGAAAAGCAGCACAUAGCGAGCUUGGGUGAUAACUGCCUGAGGGCAAUCUCCCAAACUGCAAAAACAAGAGGCUGGAAGCUUCCCAGUAGUAUAUUGUAUUCAGUGAACAAACACCAGUCACAAUGGGGGUUUGCUCUGGAAACAACACUUUUCUUUUUCCCACCUGAGCCUACCUUAUAACUAUGGCAAAGGAGCUGCUCCACUGCCAAAGGCUCUUUAUGUACUGGUUAUUUACAGGAGGUUUCAGUAGCUUGAAACCCAUCUUAUAUGUGUUCUCCUUUGUGGAGAAGCCUGAUAUGUUAUGAAAAUACCUUCUUUUCACAAGUGGGAAAAAGCCACAUAUAGCAGGCUAGGGUGAUAACUGCCUGAAUUCAAUCACAGAAACUCCACAAAACAAGAGGCUGGAAGCUUCCUACUCACAAAGCGUGUUAUACUCAGUGAAGGAACACCAGCUCCAAUGGUGGAUUGCUCCAGAAAGCAACCCUUGCCUUUUUGCCACCAAAUGAGUGGAGUGGCAAAUGAGCCACUCCACUGCCAAAUCCUCUGUGUGCACUGGUUGUUUACAGGAUGUUUCAGUAGCUUGAAACACACUCAAAAAGUUUUCUCAUUCUUGGAGAAGCCUGAAUUGCUCUGAAAAUGCUCUCUUUCCACAAGCAGUGAAAAGCAGCACAUAUUGAGUUAGGGUGAAUAUCUCCUGAUGGCAAUCUCAGAAACUCUGCAAAACAAGAGGUUGGAAGCUUCCUAAUUCCAAAGUAUUUGGUACUCAGUGACCAAACACCAGAACCAAUGGUGGUUAGCUGCCGAAAGCAACCCUUCCCUAUUUCCCGUAUAGGCCUUUGCUAUAUUUAGUGCGAAUGAGCCACUCCAUUGCCAAAUGCUCUGUGUGUACCGGUUGUUUACAGGAGGUUUCAGUAGCUUGAAACUCACGUGAAAUGUGUUCUCUUUGUGGAGAAGCCUGAUUGGUUAUGAAAAUGCCUUUUUUUCACAAGCAGUGAAAAACAGAACAUAGCGAGCAGAUAUCAAUCACACAAACUCCACAAAAGAAGUGUCUGGAAGCUUCCUACUUGCAGUGUAUACUGUACUCAGUGAACAAACACCAGCCCCUAGGUUUGUUUGCUCCAGAAAGCAACACUUGAGUUUUUCCACAAAUGCCUGUGUUACACAUAGAGUGAAUGAUCCAUUCCGCUGCCAAAUGUUCUGUGUGUAUUAGUUGUUCACAGGUUUCAGUAGCUUGCAACUCACUCAAAAAGUGUUCUUUCUCCUUUGUGGAGAAACCUGAUUUGCUACGAAAAUGUCUUUUCACAAGCGGGAAAAGCAGCACUCAUCAAGCUUGGGCAAUAAUUCCCUGAUGUCAAUCUCACAAACUUCAAAAAACAAGAGGCUGGAAGAUGCCUACUACACAAAGUAUGUUGUAUUCAGUGAACAAACACCAGCCCCAAUGGUGAUUUGCUCCGGAAAGCAACCUUUGCCUUCUUUCCAACCUAGGGCUAUGAUAUACCUAGGGCAAAGGUCCCACUGCCCUGCCAAAUGCUCUGGGUGCACUGAUUGAUUACAGGAGGAUUCCCUAGCUUGAAUCCCACUCAAAAGCUGUUCUCCUUUUUAGAGACACUCGAUUUGCUGUGAAAAAGCCUUCUUUUCAGAAGUGGAGAAAAACAGCACGUAGGGAGGUAGGGUGAUAACAACCUCAUAACAAUCUCACAAAGGCCAGAAAACAAGGUGCUGGAAGCUUCCUACUUGCCAAGUAUAUUGUACUUGGUGAACAAACAUCAGCCCCAAUGGUGGUUUGCUUUGGAUAGCAACCCUUGCCUUUUUCCCGCCUUGGCCUGUGUUAUACCAAGGUCAAAUGAGACCCAGCACAGGCAAACUCUCUGUGUGCACUGCUUGUUUGUUAAGCGUCUUCAGAGGCUUAAAACCAACUCAAAUGUAUUCUCCUUUGUGGAGAAGUCUGAUUUGGCAUGAAAACGCCUUCUUUUCAGAAGGGCGGAGAAUCAGAACAUAGCAAGCUUGGGCAAUAAUCACCUGAUGGCAAUCUCACCAACUCCACACUACAAGAUGCUGGAAGCUUCCUACUUGAAAAGUAUAUUGUACUCAGUGAACGAACACCAGCCCCAAUGGUGGUUUGCUUCGGAAUGCAACCCUUGCCUUUUUCCCACCUAGGCCUCUGUUAUACCAUUGUGUUGUAUGCAAUCCCUAUCAAGUUACAGGACAUUUUUCACAGAACUACAACAGAGUCCAAAAAUUUAUAUGGAAGCAUCAAAAACCCAGAAUUGCCAAAGCAAUCCUGAGGAACAAGAACCAAGCUGGAUGUAUAACUCUUCUAGACUUCAGACAAUAAUACAAAGCUACCGAAAUGAAUAAUGUGUGAAACUGGUACCAAAACUGACCUACAUAUCAAUGGAACAAAACAGAGAUCCCAGAAAGAAACCCAGACAACUACAGUCCAUUAAUCUUCAACAAAGGAGGCAAGAAUAUAUAAUGUGCAAAACACAGUCUCUUCAGCAAGUGCUGCUUGGCAAACUAGACAGCUGCAUGUAAAUCAAUGAAACUAGAACACACCCUCACACCAUGAACAAAAAUAAACUCAAAAAUAGCUCAAAGACUUCAACAUAAGUCAAGACACAAUAAAACUCCUAGAAGAGAACCUAGGCAAGACAUUCUCUGACAUCAACCAUAUAAAUAUCUUCUCCCAAAUCAAUAGAAAUAAAAACAAAAAUAGGAAUUCCCAUCAUGGCUCACUGGAAACAAAUGUGAGUAGUACCCACGAGGAUGCAGGUUCAAUCCCUGGCCUCACUCAGUUAAGGAUCUGGUGUUGCAGUAAGCUAUGGUGUAGGUUGAAGAUGCGGCACGGAUCACACUUUGCUGCAGCUGUGGUGUAGGCUGGCAACUACAGCUCCAAUUCACCUCCUAGCUGGGAAACUCCAUAUGCUGCAGGUGCAACCCUAAAAAGACCAAAAAACAUAAAUAAAAAAAAUUUUAAAAAGAAAUAAAAACAAAAAUAUACCAAUGGGACCUAAUCAAACUUACAAGCUUUUUGCACAGCAAAGGAAAUCAUUUUUAAAAAAUGAACAGAAUGAUAGAAAAUAAUUUCAAAUGAUACAACUGACAAGGGAUUAAUCUCUAAAAUAUACAAACAACUUAUACAACUCAAGAGCAGAAAAAGAAGCAAUCCAAUUGAAAAAUGGGCAGAAAAAAAUCAUGGACUUGGAGAAUAGACUUGUGGCUGCCCGGGGGGAGAGGGAGGGAGUAGGAGGGAUCGGGAGCUUGGGGUUAUCAGAUGCAAACUAUUGCUCUUGGAAUGGAUAUACAAUGAGAUCCUGCUGUGUAGCACUGAGAACUAUGUCUAGAUAUUUACAUCGCAACAGAAAAAUGGGAGGAAAGAGAAUGCAUACAUGUAUGUAUAACUUGGUCCCCAUGCUGUACAACAGAAAAAAAAAAAAAAAAAAAAAAAAAAGAACGAGGAAACCAAAAAACAACAACAACAAAAAAAUGGGCAGAAGACCUGAAUAGACAUUUCACCAAAGAUGAUAUACAGAGACUCUCAUACUAAGUGAAGUAAGCCAGAAAGAGAAAGACAAAUACGAUAUGGUAUCAGUUAUAUCUGGAAUCUAAUAUACAGCACAAAUGAACCUUUCUUCAGAAAAUAAAAAAACUCAUGGUUUGGAGAACAGACUCAUGAUUGCCAAGGAUGAGGGGGAGGGAGUGGGAUGGACGGGGAGUUUGGGGUUAAUAGAUGCAAACCUGCCUUUGGAGUGGAUAAGCAAUGAGAUUCUGCUGUAUAGCACAGGGAACUAUAUCUAGUCACUUGAGAUGGAACUUGAUGGAGGAUAAUGUGAGAAAAAGAAUGUGUAUGUAUAUGUAUAUGUAUGACUGGGUCGCUUUGCUGUGCAGCAGAAGUUGACAGAACAAUGUAAAUGAAGUAGAACAGAAAAAAUAAAAACCUAAAAAAGAAAGUGAGGUCGCAGACGCGGCUCUGGCGUAGGCCGGUGGCUACAGCUCCAAUUCGACCCCUAGCCUGGGAACCUCCAUAUGCUGCAGGAGCGGCCCAAAGAAAUAGCAAAAAGACUAAAAAAAAAAAAAAAAAAAAAAGAAAGAAAGAAAGUGAAGGGAUGGAAAAUAUAUUUCAUGCAAAUGGAAAUGACAAGAAAGUAUCUCAAUAAUAAUGUCAGAUGAAAUACACUUUAAAACAAAGGCCAUUAAGAAAGAUAGAGAAGGAGACUAUUUCAUGAUUAAAGGUUCAAUUCAAGGUGAGGACAGUACACUCAUCAACAUAUAUGCUCCUGGAGUUCCCAUUGUGGCUCAGUGGAAAACAAUCUGACUAGUAUCCAUGAGGAUGCAGGUUCAACCCCUGGCCUUGCUCAGUGGGUUGAGGAUCUGACAUCGCCCUGAGCUGUGGGAUAGGUUGCAGACACAGCUUGUAUCUGGUGUUUCUGUGGCUGUGGCAAAGGCCAGUGGCCACAGCUCUGAUUUGACCCCUAGCCUGGGAAUCUCCACAUGCCGUGGGUUUGGCCCUAAAAAGACCAAAAAAAAAAAAAAAAAAAUCCUCCUAAUGUAGGAGCACCCAAUAACACACAACAAAUACUAAAAGACAUAAAAGGAGAAACUAUGGGAAUACAAUAAGAGUAGAAGACUUUGGAGUUCCCAUCGUGGCUCAGUGGUAAAGAACCCAACUAGUAUCCAUGAGGGUGUAGGUUCAAUUCCUGGCCUUGCUCAGUGGGUUAAGGAUCCUGCACUGCUGUGGCUUUGGCAUAGGCCAUCAGCUGCAGCUCUGGUUCAACCCCUAGCCUGGGAAUUUCCAUAUUCUGCAGGUGCAGCACUAAAAAAA
ensembl:lncRNA